rnacentral:rRNA from 1 species
AUACGUAGGUGGCAAGCGUUGUCCGGAAUUAUUGGGCGUAAAGCGCGCGCAGGUGGUUCCUUAAGUCUGAUGUGAAAGCCCCCGGCUCAACCGGGGAGGGUCAUUGGAAACUGGGGAACUUGAGUGCAGAAGAGGAUAGUGGAAUUCCAAGUGUAGCGGUGAAAUGCGUAGAGUUUUGGAGGAACACCAGUGGCGAAGGCGACUGUCUGGUCUGUAACUGACACUGAGGCGCGAAAGCGUGGGGAGCAAACAGGAUUAGAUACCCUGGUAGUCCACGCCGUAAACGAUGAGUGCUAAGUGUUGGGGGGUUUCCGCCCCUCAGUGCUGCAGCUAACGCAUUAAGCACUCCGCCUGGGGAGUACGGUCGCAAGACUGAAACUCAAAUGAAUUGACGGGG